CACGUAGUUAGCCGGGGCUUCUUAGUCAGGUACCGUCAUUAUCUUUCCUGCUGAUAGAGCUUUACAUACCGAGAUACUUCUUCACUCACGCGGCGUCGCUGCAUCAGGGUUUCCCCCAUUGUGCAAUAUUCCCCACUGCUGCCUCCCGUAGGAGUCUGGGCCGUGUCUCAGUCCCAAUGUGGCCGUUCACCCUCUCAGGCCGGCUACUGAUCGUCGCUUUGGUGGGCCGUUACCCCGCCAACUGGCUAAUCAGACGCGGAUCCAUCGUAUACCACCGGAGUUUUUCACACCGCUCCAUGCGGAGCUGUGCGCUCAUGCGGUAUUAGCACCUAUUUCUAAGUGUUAUCCCCCGGUAUACGGCAGGUUAUCCACGCGUUACUCACCCGUCCGCCACUAACCUGUAUAUCACUAGGUUUCAAUACAGAUCCGUUCGACUUGCAUGUGUUAGGCACGCCGCCAGCGUUCAUCCUGAGCCAGGAUCAAACUCU
rnacentral:rRNA from 1 species